rnacentral:rRNA from 1 species
AUACGUAGGGGGCGAGCGUUGACCGGAAUGAUUGGGCGUAAAGGGCGCGUAGGCGGCCCGGUAAGUCUGGAGUGAAAGUCCUGUUUUUAAGAUGGGAAUUGCUUUGGAUACUGCCGCGCUUGAGUGCAGGAGAGGUUAUCGGAAUUCCCGGUGUAGCGGUGAAAUGCGUAGAGAUCGGGAGGAAAACCAGUGGCGAAGGCGGGUAACUGGACUGCAACUGACGCUGAGGCGCGAAAGUGUGGGGAGCAAACAGGAUUAGAUACCCUGGUAGUCCACACUGUAAACGAUGAAUGCUAGGUGUAAGAGGUAUCGACCCCUUUUGUGCCGGAGUCAACACAAUAAGCAUUCCGCCUGGGGAGUACGUUCGCAAGGUUGAAACUCAAAUGAAUUGACGGGG